CAACUCACUGAACAACCAGAAUUAGCAAAUAAAGUAGAGAUGAUUUGGAUACUUGAUGGCAGUUCUGUUUAUAAGGAAGCCGUGAAUCACCCAGGCCAUCUUAAACUAUUUGUGACAAGGAUCAUGCAGGACUUUUGAAAGUGACACGUGUUUUCCAGAAAUUGAUUUUGAGAAAUAUAAACUUCUGCCAGAAUACCCUGGCGUUCUCUCUGAUGUCCAGGAGGAGAAAGGCAUUAAGUACAAAUUUGAAGUAUAUAAGAAGAAUGAU
rnacentral:lncRNA from 1 species